ensembl:ncRNA T10A3.4 ncRNA
AAAGUAUAAGAUAUCUUUUUCAACCAACCGUUCUAAUUUGCCCAUUUGUCCCGGAAGAAUGAGACUGUCAAACUGCAUGAGAGCAGGCUUUAAGUUUUUAUUUUUCCACCGCCAAUUUGAAAUUGUGUGGUAUGGAAUGAAUUCACACUUGACCGAAGCAAAUCCUUGAGCACACAUUGCUCCCAUCACAUUGUUAUCUGUUGUGUAUCGUUCACUGUAAUUA